GGUCGAUAUGUGAACUACCCACACCUGGACAAAAGAACCCUAUAACGUUUCAUUGUUCCCUGGGAUUGGCUUUGGGCUUUUCUUGCACGCCUUAGGUGGGAGGUGAGGAAUGCCUUCUUCCGAGGGGGACAAGCCAUCAAUUCGAUAUCACUCUGAAAGGGCUAGAAUGCUAACCUUAUGUUAACCUAAAAUGUUAAACCCUAAACCCUAAACCUAUAAGCUAAGGGAUAGUCUCAUGUAAAUAAUUUUUAUUGGGUGUAGGCCUCCCAAAGGUAACGGGGGUGUGCAAAGGUUUCCUCGGGCUAGACGGAGAUUAGCCCUCGAGUGCAAAGGCAAAAUGGAGCUUGAUUGCAAGACCUAUCGAUCGAGCAAGGAAAAACUUGACCUUAGUGAUCCGACAGUGUCAAAUGGAUGGGUCUUUGCUCAAUGGAUAAAAGUUACUUUAGGGAUAAUAGGCUAAUCUUCCCUAAGAGCCUACAUCGACGGGAAAGUUUGACACCUCGAUGUUGGCAUUUCGCCAGCUGAGACUAUAGUAUGUUCCAAGGGUUAGGUUGUUCGCCCAUUAAAGUGGUACAUGAGCUAGGUUCAGAACAUCGUGAGACAAUUUGGUCCAUAUCCGGUGUGGCAUUAAAGCAUUGAGAGAACCUUUCCCUAAUACGAAAAAACUGGGAAUGAUGCACCUCUGGUACCAGAUCAACCCUUUAAGGGCAUGGGUUCAAACCCCACCAAGGCCAAAUGAUAUUUCCUUAGUGUAACACCCCAAAAUAAGGCCUAGGAGUUUUAGAGGUAUUUUAGGAAUUUUAUUCUUAGAGUGUUCAAAAUUUUAUGACAUGGUAUAUAAAUUUUUUUAAUACGAUUUUUAGAAAAUUAAAUUAAUUUUUGAAAAAUAAGUUUUA
rfam:Gossypium hirsutum cultivar TM-1 chromosome 21, whole genome shotgun sequence